rnacentral:rRNA from 1 species
UGCAAGUCGAACGAUCACUAUUGGGUAGCAAUAUUCGGUAGUGGGAGUGGCGCAAGGGUGCGUAACACGUGGGUAAUUUGCCGUAAAGUCUGGGAUAACUUGCUGAAAGGCGAGCUAAUACCGGAUGUGAUUGCUGGAGGGCAUCCUCUGGCACUUAAAGUCGGGGACCGUAAGGCCUGACACUUUUCGAUAAGCCCGCGGCCUAUCAGCUAGUUGGUGAGGUAACGGCUCACCAAGGCUAAGACGGGUAGCUGGUCUGAGAGGACGACCAGCCUCACUGGAACUGAGACACGGUCCAGACACCUACGGGUGGCAGCAGUCGAGAAUUUUUCUCAAUGGGGGAAACCCUGAAGGAGCGACGCCGCGUGGGGGAUGAAUGGCUUCGGCCCGUAAACCCCUGUCAUUUGCGAUCAAACCUUACGACCUAAUACGUCGUAAGCUGAUAGUAGCGGAAGAGGAAGGGACGGCUAACUCUGUGCCAGCAGCCGCGGUAAUACAGAGGUCCCAAGCGUUGUUCGGAUUCACUGGGCGUAAAGGGUGCGUAGGCGGUCGGGUAAGUCUGACGUGAAAUCUUCAAGCUCAACUUGGAAACUGCGUCGGAUACUAUUCGGCUAGAGGAAUGGAGGGGAGACUGGAAUACUUGGUGUAGCAGUGAAAUGCGUAGAUAUCAAGUGGAACACCAGUGGCGAAGGCGAGUCUCUGGACAUUUCCUGACGCUGAGGCACGAAAGCCAGGGGAGCAAACGGGAUUAGAUACCCCGGUAGUCCUGGCCCCAAACGGUGCACGUUUGCUGUAAGAGGAAUCGACCCCUUUUGUGGCGAAGCUAACGCGUUAAACGUGC